rnacentral:piRNA from 1 species
UCUGUACCUCUAGCAAGCAUACU